GGACGGGUGAGUAACGCGUGAGAAUCUCGGCUCUAGGUCGGGGACAACAGUUGGAAACGACUGCUAAUACCGGAUGUGCCGAGAGGUGAAAGAUUUAUUGCCUAGAGAUGAGCUCGCGUCUGAUUAGCUAGUUGGUGUGGUAAGAGCGCACCAAGGCGACGAUCAGUAGCUGGUCUGAGAGGAUGAUCAGCCACACUGGGACUGAGACACGGCCCAGACUCCUACGGGAGGCAGCAGUGGGGAAUUUUCCGCAAUGGGCGAAAGCCUGACGGAGCAAUACCGCGUGAGGGAGGAAGGCUCUUGGGUUGUAAACCUCUUUUCUCAAGGAAUAAGUUCUGAAGGUACUUGAGGAAUAAGCAUCGGCUAACUCCGUGCCAGCAGCCGCGGUAAUACGGAGGAUGCAAGCGUUAUCCGGAAUGAUUGGGCGUAAAGGGUCCGCAGGUGGCAUUGUAAGUCUGCUGUCAAAGAAUGAGGCUUAACCUCAUCAAGGCAGUGGAAACUACAAAGCUAGAGUACGGUCGGGGUAGAAGGAAUUCCUGGUGUAGCGGUGAAAUGCGUAGAGAUCAGGAAGAACACCGGUGGCGAAAGCGUUCUGCUAGACCUGUACUGACACUGAGGGACGAAAGCUAGGGGAGCGAAUGGGAUUAGAUACCCCAGUAGUCA
rnacentral:rRNA from 1 species